ensembl:snRNA U7 U7 small nuclear RNA
AAAAUUUUGCUCUUUUAGUAUUUGUCCAGUAGGGUUCUGUAAUGUUCAGAACCCCAU